GAUGAAGAACGCAGCGAAAUGCGAUAAGUAGUGUGAAUUGCAGAAUUCCGUGAAUCAUCGAGUCUUUGAACGCACAUUGCGCCCCCUGGUAUUCCGGGGGGCAUGCCUGUCCGAGCGUCAUUGCUGCCCUCAAGCACGGCUUGUGUGUUGGGCUCCGCCCCCCUCCCGGGGGGCGGGCCCGAAAGGCAGCGGCGGCACCGCGUCCGGUCCUCGAGCGUAUGGGGCUUUGUCACCCGCUCUGUAGGCCCGGCCGGCGCCCGCCGGCGACCCCAAUCAAUCUUUCCAGGUUGACCUCGGAUCAGGUAGGGAUACCCGCUGAACUUAAGCAUAUCAAUAAGCGGAGGA
rnacentral:misc_RNA from 1 species